AUGAGUGCAGAAAGAGAGAGGAAGAGAGGAGCUCAGUGCACCACAGUUGAGUUAAACAACUCUUUCUAUUUCAGGGAAUUCAACCGGUGUUGUAGCCAUUACAGUCGGGGUGCUUUUGGCUUUAGCACUUGUCGGCCUGGUAGCAGAAGUAACAAGAAGAUGGAGAAGAAGAGGAAAAACAACAACAACAACAACAACAACAACUAAUAGAACAUGAUGAACCCUUCAACAGGACAGUGAAUGGCACACAAUGAAUGAACAAAGGAUUAAAUCACACCUGGAAUAUACAACUGUACAGCGAAGUGAAAGAAUUAUUAUGGUGUUUUCCUUGGUGGUUUCUUCUUUGCUGGAAACUUGACCUUUGCUACCAGCGUGCUAAGAAAUACAAAUGAAGACUUGAAAACACCAAUUUUGGACUAAACACUUUGCAGCUCAAACAAAUGUUACUUUAAAGGCCCUGACAAUGCAUUAUCUUAUCCAGCUUCUUCAUGGUGAUGAUGAGAGAUUAAUAUAUUUGUGUUUUUGUCCUUUUUCCCCACAGGUUUAAAGUAGGUAGGACUUUUAAAAUCAAAGUUUUUCUUUGUAGAAAUAAAAAGUAUAAAUGUAAGAUAGCCAGCAGUUACAUGUUUGAGUCUAGUUUUCAUAGUGGGGUUGGCAGGUUGGUUCACUGUAAUGACUGAGGCUAUCAUCAUCCAAACUAAGGCAACUAGCUAGUGAGCAAACUUGUUACAGCUGCUGCAGCUGUUGUGCAGAGGUGCUGGAUCAACUACUGUCUGUGUGGAGUUUUUGUGUUUCCAUUCCUAUGGAAUGCUUUCUAGUGACAAAGCAUGUCUAACUCUGAAUGCAUUUUAAAUAGUUUUACACAUUUACUCACCUCAUUGCUACUGGAGUACUGUCAUUUCUACUCAUUUAAAGUACUUGUGGUUGUGUAAAGUACUUCAGUUGUGUGUUUGAUAUUUCAGUAUUUCCAGUAUUUACUGCAUUUUUUUAUGACUUCAGGAUCAAAUGGGAAGUCUUGAUUUUUUUUGUGUGUGUAUGUUUCAUCCAUUUUCUCCUGUCAUUUGUGAUAAAAUAUAUUUUAUGUAUCUUUUGGUUCCAGAAAAGGUCUUCACAAGUGGUAAAUAAAUAUUCUGGCUAAGUAC
rnacentral:lncRNA from 15 species